rnacentral:RNase_P_RNA from 2 species
CCAGUUGACCGGGUGACCGCUGGCAGUGGGGUAACCUGCUGCGGGAGGAAAGUCCGGGCUCCUUCGAAACACGGUGCCGGUUAAUGGCCGGCGGGGGCGACCCCAGGGAAAGUGCCACAGAAAGUAAACCGCCACGGCAUGCCGGGGUAAGGAUGAAAGGGUGCGGUAAGAGCGCACCGGGCAACCAGCAAUGGAAGCCGCACGGUAAACCCCACCGGGAGCAAGACCAAAUAGGGAUGACGCGGGGCUUCGGUCCCAGCCUGUUUUGAGGCCAGAUCAUCCGGGUUGGUUGCACGAGCGUCCUGGUAACAGGCGCCAUAGAUGAAUGGUCACCACGUCUGCGUCGCAAGGCGCAGGCCCUACAGAACCCGGCUUACAGGUCAACUGGCGUU